rnacentral:rRNA from 1 species
UACGUAGGGAGCAAGCGUUAUCCGGAUUUACUGGGUGUAAAGGGCGUGUAGGCGGGCCUGCAAGUCAGAAGUGAAAUCUGGGGGCUUAACCCCCAAACUGCUUUUGAAACUGUGGGUCUUGAGUGAUGGAGAGGCAGGCGGAAUUCCCAGUGUAGCGGUGAAAUGCGUAGAUAUUGGGAGGAACACCAGUGGCGAAGGCGGCCUGCUGGACAUUAACUGACGCUGAGGCGCGGAAGCGUGGGGAGCAAACAGG